UGGGGAAUCUUAGACAAUGGGGAAACCCUGAUCUAGCCAUGCCGCGUGAGCGAUGAAGGCCUUAGGGUUGUAAAGCUCUUUUCAGCUGGGAAGAUAAUGACGGUACCAGCAGAAGAAGCCCCGGCUAACUCCGUGCCAGCAGCCGCGGUAAUACGGAGGGGGCUAGCGUUGUUCGGAAUUACUGGGCGUAAAGCGCACGUAGGCGGAUUAGUCAGUCAGAGGUGAAAUCCCAGGGCUCAACCCUGGAACUGCCUUUGAUACUGCUAGUCUUGAGGUCGAGAGAGGUGAGUGGAAUUCCGAGUGUAGAGGUGAAAUUCGUAGAUAUUCGGAGGAACACCAGUGGCGAAGGCGGCUCACUGGCUCGAUACUGACGCUGAGGUGCGAAAGCGUGGGGAGCAAAACAGGAUUAGAUACCCUGGUAGUCCACGCCGUAAACGAUGAUGCCAGUCGUCGGGUUGCAUGCAAUUCGGUGACACACCUAACGGGAUUAAAGCAUUCCGCCUGGGGAGUACGAUCGCAAGAUUAAAACUUAAAGGAAUUGACGGGGUCAUAGCUGUUUCCUG
rnacentral:rRNA from 1 species